rnacentral:lncRNA from 1 species
UCAUGUAGUCACCAUCACAUUUUUAAGCGAUUGUACUCAGCUUUGGCUGCAUUUUCCUACACUAUUUUCUUCUUCAGUAAUCACCAUUAACAGUGUGCUCUCAUCAUCUUCUUGCCUUGCAAACUUUGCUUCAGCUUCUUAUGGAUCAUUCUUGUUGGCAUGAAAAUCACGAGAAAAAUGUUCAAGCUUUUGGUAGUUGUAGCAGUGAACGUUGCUCUUAUCAUUCUUCCAUCUUCCUCCUCUUCCU